AUGCUCAGUACAGACAGUUUACAUCUGAGAGGGAGGCGUCAUUCUGGUUGGAGUGAUCAAAGUAGCUCUCAGUUUUCUAAGCAAUGUGAAUACCAGGUACAGUACACACACACUACACACACACACACAGACACACACACCACACACACAGACACACACACUACACACACACACACAGACACACACACAGACACACACACACACACACACACACACACACACACAGACACACACUACACACACACACACAGACACACACACACACACACACAAACACACAGACACACACACUACAGACACACACUACACACACACAGACACACACUACACACACCUACACAUACUACACCCACACUACACACACACACACAGCCACACACACUACACACACACAGACACACACUACACACACACACACAGACACACACACUACACACACACACAAAGACACACACACUACACACACACACACACACACACACACUACACACACACACACACAGACACACACACUACACACACAGACACACACUACACACACCUACACACACUACACCCACACUACACACACACAGACACACACACACACUACACACAGACACACACUACACACACCUACACACACACACUACACACACCUACACACCUACACACACAGACACACACUACACACACCUACACACAGACAGACACACCUACACACAGACACCUACACACAGACACACACACACACACACACACACACACACACACUCACACACACAGACACACCUACACACAGACACACACACACCUACACACAGACACACACCUACACACAGACACACACACACACCUACACACAGACACACACCUACACACACACACACACACACACACACACACACACACACACACACACACACACACACACAGACACACACACACCUACACACAGACACACACCUACACACAGACACACACACACACAGACACACCUACACACAGACACACACACACACAGACACACCUACACACAGACACCUACACACAGACACACACACACACAGACACACCUACACACAGACACCUACAUACAGACACACACACCUACACACAGACACACACCUACACACAGACACACACACACACAGACACACCUACACACAGACACACACACCUACACACAGACACACACCUACACACAGACACACACAUCUACACACAGACACACACCUACAUACAGACACACACACCUACACACAGACACACACCUACAUACACACACACACACCUACACACAGACACACACCUACACACAGACACACACACCUACACACAGACACACACCUACAUACAGACACACACACCUACACACAGACACAAACCUACACACAGACACACACACCUACACACAGACACACACCUACAUACAGACACACACACCUACACACACACACACCUUCACACAGACACACACCUACACACAGACACACACCUACACACAGACACACACCUACACACAGACACACACCUACACACACACACACACACCUACACACAGACACACACCUACACACACACACACACACCUACACACACACACACACCUACACACACACACACACACCUACACACAGACACACACCUACAUACACACACACACACCUACACACAGACACACACCUACAUACAGACACACACACCUACACACAGACACACACCUACACACACACACACACCUACACACACACACACACCUACACACAGACACACACCUACACACAGACACACACCUACACACACACACACACCUACACACACACACACACCUACACACAGACACUCUCACCUCUCCGUCCUGCCGUGCUGCUGCUCUGA
ensembl:lncRNA